UUAGAGUUUGAUCCUGGCUCAGGAUGAACCCUUUCGAUAGGCUUAACACAUGCAAGUCGAGGGGCAGCAUAAGAGUAGCAAUACUUUGGUGGCGACCGGCGCACGGGUGAGUAACGCGUAUGCAACCUGCCCAUAACUGAGGAAUAACCCGUCGAAAGUCGGACUAAUACCUCAUAAUAAUUAUUGUUCGCAUGGAUGAUAAUUUAAAGAUUUAUUGGUUAUGGAUGGGCAUGCGUGACAUUAGGUAGUUGGUGAGGUAACGGCCCACCAAGCCUACGAUGUCUAGGGGUUCUGAGAGGAAGGUCCCCCACACUGGAACUGAGACACGGUCCAGACUCCUACGGGAGGCAGCAGUGAGGAAUAUUGGUCAAUGGGCGAGAGCCUGAACCAGCCAAAUCGCGUGAAGGAUGAAGGUAUUAUGUAUUGUAAACUUCUUUUGUCGGGGAAUAAAGUGCGGUACGUGUACCGUUUUGUAUGUACCCGAAGAAUAAGCAUCGGCUAACUCCGUGCCAGCAGCCGCGGUAAUACGGAGGAUGCGAGCGUUAUCCGGAUUUAUUGGGUUUAAAGGGUGCGUAGGCGGAGCAUCAAGUCAGCGGUGAAAGUUCUUGGCUCAACCAUGAAAUUGCCGUUGAAACUGUUGUUCUUGAGUGUAGAUGAGGUAGGCGGAAUUCGUAGUGUAGCGGUGAAAUGCUUAGAUAUUACGAAGAACUCCAAUUGCGUAGGCAGCUUACUAGGCUACAACUGACGCUGAGGCACGAAGGUGUGGGUAUCAAACAGGAUUAGAUACCCUGGUAGUCCACACAGUAA
rnacentral:rRNA from 1 species